UACGAAGGGGGCUAGCGUUAUUCGGAAUCACUGGGCUUAAAGGGUGCGUAGGCGGCGCGGAAAGUUGGGUGUGAAAUCCCUUGGCUUAACCAAGGAACGGCGCCCAAAACUACCGUGCUCGAGGGAGACAGAGGUGAGCGGAACUCAGGGUGGAGCGGUGAAAUGCGUUGAUAUCCUGAGGAACACCGGUGGCGAAGGCGGCUCACUGGGUCUCUUCUGACGCUGAGGCACGAAAGCUAGGGGAGCGAACGGG
rnacentral:rRNA from 1 species